rnacentral:rRNA from 1 species
GAUGAACGCUGGCGGCGUGCCUAAUACAUGCAAGUCGAGCGAACAGACGAGGAGCUUGCUCCUCUGACGUUAGCGGCGGACGGGUGAGUAACACGUGGAUAACCUACCUAUAAGACUGGGAUAACUUCGGGAAACCGGAGCUAAUACCGGAUAACAUGUUGAACCGCAUGGUUCAACAGUGAAAGACGGUCUUGCUGUCACUUAUAUAUGGAUCCGCGCCGCAUUAGCUAGUUGGUAAGGUAACGGCUUACCAAGGCAACGAUGCGUAUCCGACCUGAGAGGGUGAUCGGCCACACUGGAACUGAGACACGGUCCAGACUCCUACGGGAGGCAGCAGUAGGGAAUCUUCCGCAAUGGGCGAAAGCCUGACGGAGCAACGCCGCGUGAGUGAAGAAGGUCUUCGGAUCGUAAAACUCUGUUAUUAGGGAAGAACAAAUGUGUAAGUAACUAUGCACGUCUUGACGGUACCUAAUCAGAAAGCCACGGCUAACUACGUG